rnacentral:rRNA from 1 species
GAUGAACGCUGGCGGCGUGCUUAACACAUGCAAGUCGAACGAAGCAGCGGCGCGGAACCCCUCCGGGGAGGAAGCGCUGCUGACUGAGUGGCGGACGGGUGAGUAACGCGUGGGUAACCUGCCCCAUACAGGGGGAUAACAGCUGGAAACGGCUGCUAAUACCGCAUAAUCCUGCGGGGCCGCAUGGCCCUGCAUGGAAAGCUUUGGCGGUAUGGGAUGGGCCCGCGUCUGAUUAGGCAGUUGGCGGGGUAACGGCCCACCAAACCGACGAUCAGUAGCCGGCCUGAGAGGGCGACCGGCCACAUUGGGACUGAGACACGGCCCAA